rnacentral:rRNA from 1 species
UACGAAGGGGACGAGCGUUGUUCGGAAUUACUGGGCGUAAAGUGUGCGCAGGUGGCUUCGCAAGUCGAGUGUGAAAGCCCCGGGCUUAACCUGGGAAUUGCGCUCGAAACUACGGAGCUCGAGUGUGGCAGAGGAAGGUGGAAUUCCACGUGUAGCGGUGAAAUGCGUAGAGAUGUGGAGGAACACCAAUGGCGAAGGCAGCCUUCUGGGCCAACACUGACACUCAUGCACGAAAGCGUGGGGAGCAAACAGG